AGAGUUUGAUCCUGGCUCAGGAUGAACGCUGGCGGCGUGCUUAACACAUGCAAGUCGAACGAGAAUCCAGUGAAGGAGUUUUCGGACAACGGAUCUGGAGGAAAGUGGCGGACGGGUGAGUAACGCGUGAGCAAUCUGCCUUGGAGUGGGGAAUAACGGUUGGAAACAGCCGCUAAUACCGCAUGAUGCGUCUGGGAGGCAUCUCUCUGGACGCCAAAGAUUUAUCGCUCUGAGAUGAGCUCGCGUCUGAUUAGCUUGUUGGCGGGGUAAAGGCCCACCAAGGCGACGAUCAGUAGCCGGACUGAGAGGUUGGCCGGCCACAUUGGGACUGAGACACGGCCCAGACUCCUACGGGAGGCAGCAGUGGGGAAUAUUGGGCAAUGGGCGCAAGCCUGACCCAGCAACGCCGCGUGAAGGAAGAAGGCUUUCGGGUUGUAAACUUCUUUUCUGAGGGACGAAGAAAGUGACGGUACCUCAGGAAUAAGCCACGGCUAACUACGUGCCAGCAGCCGCGGUAAUACGUAGGUGGCAAGCGUUAUCCGGAUUUAUUGGGUGUAAAGGGCGUGUAGGCGGGAAAGCAAGUCAGAUGUGAAAACUCAGGGCUCAACCCUGAGCCUGCAUUUGAAACUGUUUUUCUUGAGUGCUGGAGAGGCAAUCGGAAUUCCGUGUUGUAGCGGUGAAAUGCGUAGAUUAUACCGGAGGAACCACCAGUGGCGGAAGGCGGAUUGCUGGAACAGUAACUGACGCUGAGGCGCCGAAAGCGUGGGGAGCAAACAGGAUAGAUACCCUGGUAGUCCACGCCGUAAACGAUGGAUACUAAGUGUGGGGGACUGACCCCUUCGUGCCCAGCUAAGCAAUAAGUUUCCCACCUGGGGAGUACGAUCGCAGGUGAAACUCAAAGGAAUUGACGGGGGCCCGCCCAAGCGGGUGGAGUAGGGGUUAAUUGGAGCAACGGGAAGAACCUUACCAGGGCUUGACAUCCUGUAACGAACCAGAAGAGGGAUUAGGUGCCUUCGGGGAAAGCAGAGACAGGUGGUGCAUGGUUGUCGUCAGCUCGUGUCGUGAGAUGUGGGUAAAGUCCCGCAACGAGCGCAACCCUUAUUGUUAGUUGCUACGCAAGAGCACUCUAGCGAGACUGCCGUUGACAAAACGGAGGAAGGUGGGGACGACGUCAAAUCAUCAUGCCCCUUACGUCCUGGGCCACACACGUACUACAAUGGCGGCCAACAAAGAGAGGCAAGACCGCGAGGUGGAGAAAAUCUCAAAAAGCCGUCCCAGUUCGGAUCGCAGGCUGCAACCCGCCUGCGUGAAGUUGGAAUCGCUAGUAAUCGCGGAUCAGCAUGCCGCGGUGAAUACGUUCCCGGGCCUUGUACACACCGCCCGUCACACCAUGAGAGUCGGGAACACCCGAAGUCCGUAGCCUAACCGCAAGGGGGGCGCGGCCGAAGGUGGGUUCGAUAAUUGGGGUGAAGUCGUAACAAGGUAGCCGU
rnacentral:rRNA from 2 species